rnacentral:rRNA from 1 species
GAUGAACGCUGGCGGCGUGCCUAAUACAUGCAAGUCGAGCGAACGGACGAGAAGCUUGCUUCUCUGAUGUUAGCGGCGGACGGGCGAGUAACACGUGGAUAACCUACUUAUAAGACUGGGAUAACUUCGGGAAACCGGAGCUAAUACCGGAUAAUAUUUUGAACCGCAUGGUUCAAAAGUGAAUGACGGUCUUGCCGUCUCUUUUAGAUGGAUCCGCGCUGCAUUAGCUAGUUGGUAAGGUAACGGCUUACCAAGGCAACGAUGCAUAGCCGACCUGAGAGGGUGAUCGGCCACACUGGAACUGAGACACGGUCCAGACUCCUACGGGAGGCAGCGGUAGGGAAUCUUCCGCAAUGGGCGAAAGCCUGACGGAGCAACGCCGCGUGAGUGAUGAAGGUCUUCGGAUCGUAAAACUCUGUUAUUAGGGAAGAACAUAUGUGUAAGUAACUGUGCACAUCUUGACGGUACCUAAUCAGAAAGCCACGGCUAACUUCGUG